rnacentral:rRNA from 1 species
AUGUAUAGCAGCAGGGGCUCUGGGUGUAACAAUGGUAUUGAUGUCCUCAUCAGGGAUUCGGUGCUUUGGCCGCUUUCUGCCUCUGGGCGUUUUUCUGUUAAGUCUAUUUAUUCUAAGCUCGUUGGUGGCACGCCGACCAAUCGUUUUUCCCAAGUUGGGAAGGCCCGUAUUCCCCUUAAGAUUAAAAUUUUCUUGUGGCAAGCCUUUCGAGGCCGGUUGCCCUCGGCUGAUCAGAUUCGUAAGAGAAAUGGGCCGGGCUCCCAGUUCUGUGCUCUUUGUGGUGAUGUGGAAGACUCGGAUCAUAUCUUUUUUCACUGCCACCUGGCUAAGCUUAUUUGGAGUUGUGUGCGGGACUGGCUUCAUGUUUCUUGGGCCCCUGCCUCCUUUGCCGAGUUGCGCAGCUUGGCUUCCAACCUCUCCGGUGUAUCUAGGCGCAUCAUUUGGGUGGGCUUGGGGGCUUUAUGCUGGUCUCUGUGGACUACUAGGAACAAAUUUACUAUCGAGCACGUGUUUCCGGCUAAACCGGCUGACUGCUUAUUUAAAUCGUGUGCUUUCCUGCAGCAGUGGAAAUCAUUGACUAAGGUCGACAACCAAGAGGCGCUCUCUAUGCUGAUCUACAAAAUUCAGACGACGGCGUCUCAGUUAUGCAGACAAGAGCAGGAUGCUUGA